UACUAAUACCGGAUAUUCUUGCUUUAUAUAAGUUUUGCAAGCAAAGGUGGCCUCUGACAUAAGCUACUGCAUAAAGAGGGGUCUGCGUACCAUUAGCUAGUAGGUGGGGUAAUGGCCUACCUAGGCUACGAUGGUUAGCGGGUCUGAGAGGAUGAUCCGCCACACUGGCACUGGAACACGGGCCAGACUCCUACGGGAGGCAGCAGUGAGGAAUAUUGCGCAAUGGGGGCAACCCUGACGCAGCGACGCCGCGUGAGUGAGGAAGGCCUUCGGGUCGUAAAGCUCUGUCAAAGGGAAAGAAAUGUAUAAUGGCUAAUACCUGUUAUAUUUGACGGUACCCUUAAAGGAAGCACCGGCUAACUCCGUGCCAGCAGCCGCGGUAAUACGGAGGGUGCAAGCGUUGUUCGGAAUUACUGGGCGUAAAGGGCGCGUAGGCGGUUUGAUAGGUCAGAUGUGAAAGCCCACGGCUUAACUGUGGAAGUGUAUUUGAUACUGUCAGACUUGAGUACCAGAGGGGAAAGUGGAAUUCCCGGUGUAGAGGUGAAAUUCGUAGAUAUCGGGAGGAAUACCGGUGGCGAAGGCGACUUUCUGGCUGGAUACUGACGCUGAGGCGCGAAAGCGUGGGGAGCAAACAGGAUUAGAUACCCUGGUAGUCCACGCUGUAAACGAUGUCACUAGAUGUAGGGGGUGUUGAUCCCUUCUGUGUCGCAGCUAACGCAUUAAGUUGAC
rnacentral:rRNA from 1 species